UACGUAGGGUGCGAGCGUUAAUCGGAAUUACUGGGCGUAAAGCGUGCGCAGGCGGUUACAUAAGCCAGAUGUGAAAUCCCCGGGCUUAACCUGGGAACUGCAUUUGGGACUGUGUGGCUUGAGUAUGGCAGAGGGAGGUGGAAUUCCACGUGUAGCAGUGAAAUGCGUAGAGAUGUGGAGGAACACCGAUGGCGAAGGCAGCCUCCUGGGCCAAUACUGACGCUCAUGCACGAAAGCGUGGGGAGCAAACAGGAUUAGAUACCCUGGUAGUCCACGCCCUAAACGAUGUCGACUAGUUGUUGGGGGCUAUAUGCCCUUAGUAACGCAGCUAACGCGUGAAGUCGACCGCCUGGGGAGUACGGCCGCAAGGUUA
rnacentral:rRNA from 1 species